rnacentral:lncRNA from 1 species
AAUAAAGGGUCUACAGAAAAAACACAAAAUCAUCCCCAAACUAAACAGCUGCCUGGCGUGGGGUAUUGCACUGCAAAAUUUCCCAGCUGUGUGUGUGUAUUAAUCAUGUCUUUUUAUUUUCCAUACUCUGAUGCUUUGACAUGUUGGGGCCCUGCUGACCCUGGAGGGACUGCCCCUCCCAGGGUUAGCUAAUUCCAAGAGAUAGCACCAACUCGCCGAGGAGCCUGCUUUUCAAAUGCCAACCAACCAAUGCAGAGCCCACACCCCCAACCACCGCCUCUACUGGAUUCUCACUCUCUGGGCCACUAUCCACCUACCCUAGUCACUCCAAAACCAGGUACCAGACAACUAGUGACAGCCCCGAUGCCCCAGAACUCCUUGAAUUUAUUCAAACUAGCCAAUCCUAAGUCUGCUUACCCUGCCUCACUUGUUCUUCCCACAAAAGCCACAAUGAAAGCUCUUGCCCUUGCCCCUGUUUCCCCCUCACUCCCUCUGCCUCCUGACCAACUCUGGAGCUUCCCUGUGUGGCCCUGCGUUGUGUGUCAUGCCUCCUGUUUCUAGGAAUCUAUGCAAAAUUAAAGAAGCUAAGAAUCCACUCAAGGUCACACAGCUGGGUUAUUGCAGAAGGAAUGAAAUGAGAUAUUAUCGAAGAAAAGACUUCAUUGAAAGACUUUAAUUGCUAUGGUUUCCCUUGACCUAUGUUGAUACAUAAAUAUUUCACUUUUUACUACAUAUAACUAUGGAGAGUAUUUCAUUUCAUAGAAGAUCGUUAUGUUUUGUGCACUAGAUGUCAGUAGAGCUCUAUGGUUCAGCUAGUACAGCUACCCGACUGAGAUGAUCUGUGCUUGGAAAAUAAACUCCUUGUGCUUUUGCUUAUUUUGCGUUUCAUACCGAAUGGCCAUGAAUUUGUGUCCUCGCCUCACACCCACCCUCAUUUCCAUCCCACUAGAAUUCUGCUUUCAGCACAAUUUUCUGCCUUAUUGGAGCUUUAUUCCCUUCACUUUCUGGAGGAAUUCCGAC